GACGAACGCUGGCGGCGUGCUUAACACAUGCAAGUCGAACGGAAAGGCCCUGCUUUUGUCGGCUGCUCGAGUGGCGAGCGUCUGAGUACCACGUGAUUAACCUGCCCUUGAUUUUCUGCUAUCUUCAGGGAACUGGGACUAAUACCUGAUUGCUGAUCCUGCUUCAUCGCGGGGGUCGGAAAGUUUCGGCGGGUGGGUAUGGACUCGCGGCUUAUCAGCUUGCUGGUGGGGUAGUGGCUUACCAGGGCAUGGACGGGUAGCCGGCCUGGGCGGAUCACCGGAAACAUUGGGACUGGACUGCGGCCCAGACUCCAACGGGAGGCAGCGGAGCGGAAUAUUACACAACGGGCGGAAGCCUGAUGCAGCAACGCCGCGUGCGGGAUAACGGCCUUCGGGUUGUAAACCGCUUUCGCCUGUGAAGAAGCGUGAGUGACGGUAAUGGGUAAAGAAGCACCGGCUAACUACGUG
rnacentral:rRNA from 1 species